rnacentral:rRNA from 1 species
UACGUAGGUGGCAAGCGUUGUCCGGAUUUAUUGGGCGUAAAGCGCUUGUAGGCGGCACGUCAAGUCGCGUGUGAAAUCCCCAGGCUUAACCUGGGAAGUGCGCGCGAAACUGACAAGCUUGAGUGCCGGAGAGGGUCGCGGAAUUCCCGGUGUAGAGGUGAAAUUCGUAGAUAUCGGGAGGAACACCAGUGGCGAAGGCGGCGACCUGGACGGACACUGACGCUGAGACGCGAAAGCGUGGGGAGCAAACAGG